CCACCCUCGGGACUACAGAGGGAAAGAAGAGAAGUGGCUGGAGGUGAUAAAAUGUAGAGUAGCCCUAAACUCGGUGAGGCACGACGGGAGUUGUAGUUCUUCCACCUCGCGGGCUCCGUUUCCGGGCGGUUUCCCAGUAGUUUUAGUCGUGCGUGCAGCCUGGCCUAGUACGCCUCCGGCGGCGCUUUGCUUGGAGGUUGCUGUUGUUCCCGUGGGGAUGUGUUUGAUGCUGGUCCAUGCAUUUGGCGACACACCCUGGAGACUCUCUUGGACACGAACACCAUUAACGUCAAACGGAGAGUUUUAGAGCAACCAAGAGUGACCACUGUUUACCGAGCACUUUUUCUGAAGCACGCACUGCGCUACGUGCUCUCAAUAAUUAGCCACAUUCAUUUAAUCCUAUGAAGUCGGAAUUAUUUAGUCUUAUUUUACAGAUGACACUACAGGCCAACAAAACUCAUAAUUUUUUUGGAAGAAUUCUCUGCUGUUCUGGGAGCCAAUUACACCUUGGAAGACCAUAAGAGAGCUUGACAGAGCAGAUAAGGAGUCACCAGCAUAUAAAUGGAAAUUGAAGGUAUGGGAAGUGAUGAGCUCACCCAUCAGAUGUAUAUAGAGUGAGAACAACAAGUCCUUGGAGAGGCAGCUGAGAACAGCAAUUGACUGGCAAUUGACACUGAGAAGGAACAGCCAAAAAGGCUAGCGAUAUGUGGCAGGAUCCUCUUUUGUGAUGUGGGUAGUGGCAAUGAGCCACAGCUUCUAGCCAGCCAUGAUUGCAAAGGUAAACAACCAAUACACUUAUAACCAUUCUGUUUUUCACUUUCAGUACAGUAUUCAAUAAAUUACAUAGAUAUUCAACACUUCAUUAUAGAACAGGCUUUGUGUUAGAUGAUUUGCCCAAUGUAAGUGAUCUGACCAUGUUUAAGGUAGGCUAGGCUAGGGGGCG